AUUGAACGCUGGCGGCAGGCUUAACACAUGCAAGUCGAGCGGGGUGAUGGUGCUUGCACUAUCACUUAGCGGCGGACGGGUGAGUAAUGCUUAGGAAUCUGCCUAUUAGUGGGGGACAACAUCUCGAAAGGGAUGCUAAUACCGCAUACGUCCUACGGGAGAAAGCAGGGGAUCACUUGUGACCUUGCGCUAAUAGAUGAGCCUAAGUCGGAUUAGCUAGUUGAUGGGGUAAAGGCCUACCAAGGCGACGAUCCGUAGCAGGUCUGAGAGGAUGAUCCGCCACACUGGGACUGAGACACGGACCAGACUCCUACGGGAGGCAGCAGUGGGGAAUAUUGGACAAUGGGGGGAACCCUGAUCCAGCCAUGCCGCGUGUGUGAAGAAGGCCUUAUGGUUGUAAAGCACUUUAAGCGAGGAGGAGGCUCUUUUGGUUAAUACCCAAGAUGAGUGGACGUUACUCGCAGAAUAAGCACCGGCUAACUCUGUGCCAGCCGCCGCGGUAA
rnacentral:rRNA from 1 species